CCUACGGGAGGCAGCAGUGAGGAAUAUUGGUCAAUGGCCUAGAGGCUGAACCAGCCAAGUCGCGUGAGGGAAGACGGCCCUACGGGUUGUAAACCUCUUUUGUCGGGGAGCAAAGCGAGUCACGUGUGACUCAUUGAGAGUACCCGAAGAAAAAGCAUCGGCUAACUCCGUGCCAGCAGCCGCGGUAAUACGGAGGAUGCGAGCGUUAUCCGGAUUUAUUGGGUUUAAAGGGUGCGCAGGCGGAGGUGCAAGUCAGCGGUAAAAUUGCGGGGCUCAACCCCGUACUGCCGUUGAAACUGCAUCCCUUGAGUGCGCGAGAAGUAUGCGGAAUGCGUGGUGGAGCGGUGAAAUGCAUAGAUAUCGCGCAGAACUCCGAUUGCGAAGGCAGCAUGCCGGCUCCACACUGACGCUGAGGCACGAAAGCGUGGGUAUCGAACAGGAUUAGAUACCCCUGUAGUC
rnacentral:rRNA from 1 species